rnacentral:rRNA from 1 species
UCCUCCCUCUUUCUUCGUGCUUAACACAUGCAAGUCGAACGGAAAGGCCCUGCUUUUGUGGGGUGCUCGAGUGGCGAACGGGUGAGUAACACGUGAGUAACCUGCCCUUGACUUUGGGAUAACUUCAGGAAACUGGGGCUAAUACCGGAUAGGAGCUCCUGCUGCAUGGUGGGGGUUGGAAAGUUUCGGCGGUUGGGGAUGGACUCGCGGCUUAUCAGCUUGUUGGUGGGGUAGUGGCUUACCAAGGCUUUGACGGGUAGCCGGCCUGAGAGGGUGACCGGCCACAUUGGGACUGAGAUACGGCCCAGACUCCUACGGGAGGCAGCAGUGGGGAAUAUUGCACAAUGGGCGGAAGCCUGAUGCAGCAACGCCGCGUGCGGGAUGACGGCCUUCGGGUUGUAAACCUCUUUCGCCUGUGACGAAGCGUGAGUGACGGUAAUGGGUAAAGAAGCACCGGCUAACUACGUG